rnacentral:rRNA from 1 species
AUUGAACGCUGGCGGCAGGCCUAACACAUGCAAGUCGAACGGUAACAGGAAGAAGCUUGCUUCUUUGCUGACGAGUGGCGGACGGGUGAGUAAUGUCUGGGAAACUGCCUGAUGGAGGGGGAUAACUACUGGAAACGGUAGCUAAUACCGCAUAACGUCGCAAGACCAAAAAGGGGGACCUUCGGGCCUCUUGCCAUCGGAUGUGCCCAGAUGGGAUUAGCUAGUAGGUGGGGUAACGGCUCACCUAGGCGACGAUCCCUAGCUGGUCUGAGAGGAUGACCAGCCACACUGGAACUGAGACACGGUCCAGGCUCCUACGGGAGGCAGCAGUGGGGAAUAUUGCACAAUGGGCGCAAGCCUGAUGCAGCCAUGCCGCGUGUAUGAAGAAGGCCUUCGGGUUGUAAAGUACUUUCAGCGGGGAGGAAGGGAGUAAAGUUAAUACCUUUGCUCAUUGACGUUACCCGCAGAAGAAGCACCGGCUAACUCCGUG